UAAUACGUAGGCAGCGAGCGUUGUUCGGAGUUACUGGGCGUAAAGGGUGUGUAGGCGGUCCUGUAAGUCUGGUGUGAAAUCUCCCGGCUCAACUGGGAGGGUGCGCCGGAAACUGCAGGGCUAGAGUGCGGGAUGGGAGAGUAGAAUUCCUGGUGUAGCGGUGAAAUGCGUAGAUAUCAGGAGGAAUACCUGUGGUGUAGACGGCUCUCUGGACCGCGACUGACGCUGAGACACGAAAGCGUGGGUAGCAAACAGGAUUAGAUACCCUGGUAGUCCACGCCCUAAACGAUGCACAUUUGGUGUGGGUGAUUCAUUUCAUCCGUGCCGGAGCUAACGCGUUAAAUGUGCCGCCUGGGGAGUACGGUCGCAAGGCUG
rnacentral:rRNA from 1 species